GGGUAUGCAGCGGCACUGCCGCCCGGCCCUUUGGCUGCCGCCCGGCGCCCCUCGUCCGCUCCUGCCCCCUCCGACGGGACGGGCAUGCACUGGCGCCGGUCUCCACGCCUGCGUGGUCGACCAGGGCCACUACGGCCUAGCCCGGCACGCUGACGCCUCACGGCCGACCGGCCGUGCCGCCCGGCCCCGGACUGCGCUGCCCGGCGCCCUGUCGACGCCGCCGUCCCGUCGGUGCGGCCGCGCGGCAGUACCACCGCCUGGCGCACGCUGUCGUGGCCGAGCCACGCCCACUCGUUGCCAGCCCCAUGCCGGCCGGCGGGGGCCAGUGCCGCCCGGCGCCAACGCCACGCCCGAGCGCGCCUAUAAAAGACCAGGUGACCUCCUCUCUGCUCCUUGCCCCAAACUCGAGUUGCACGCUGCGCCCUCGAGCUCUCCCUUCCUCUGUUGCUCUUUGCUUUCAUAAUCCAAGUGCUAAGCUAGGUGCUUAAGUAUUAAACUUUAGUACUUAGUUGCUAAGCUUAGUUGCUAAGCUAGGUGCAUGGUUAGCUUUGGGCACCCAUUUGAGAACUUUUACCUGUGCUUCCUUCUCGACCUUCGGUCUGAAGGUUAACUUUUCUUCUUGGCCAUUGAUAUUGAGCUGGAUUUCUCCAGCGCCAAAAUCAAUGUUGGCGUUAGCCGUGCUCAGGAGGGUCGGCCCAAAAUGAAAGGCGUCUUGAUAUGUACUUAAAGAUUAUCAUUAUCCUAUUCCGGCUAGUGGCUGGCCUAGCGGUGGUCAUCGUUCCCCUCAUAAUUCUGCUUGUGCACCAUGUUCAUAUCCGGGAGCUUGUCCAUGGUGCCAUGUUAGAUGAAUGCUUCAGUGGCUGAAUCUGGAGCCAGCCAGAGUCAAUGCAGAAUCAAACACAUGUUCCUACAAAAUAUAGCAAUAACUGUGUGAGAGAGCAAUGGUUUGUUCCAUAUUGGUCGUUAAGCUAUAGCUAUGACAAAAUUAUAUAGCUUUCCAAAACAAUGUGAAUCUUUAUUUGAUAAAAAAUUCACCGUUGUGAAACUCAUUCAAAUAUUAUUUCUUACGUCCUUAUAUUGUUUUCCUAUGUUUUGGCUAACUUUUAAUUAUGUUAGAUCAUGUACAUGCUCAUAUUUGCUAAUAUAUGCGGAGAUGGAUUCCAAAACCAUCAUACUCCCUCCGUCCUAAAAUGUAGGUCGUUCUAGAGUUUUUAGGACAGAUUAUGACUAUAUAGAAAAGACUCUUCUACCCCUAAUUAUUAAACAUUGGGACUCUAUUUGUGUAACUAAAUAUAUGCUAAUUACAAUAGCAUGCCCUUUUACA